rnacentral:lncRNA from 1 species
AGAUAACCCAGGAGUGAGAUUGCUGGAUCGAAUGUUGAGCCUCCAUCAUCUCUCACCUGGACUGGUGCAGUCUUCUCCAAGCAGCUUGCUGGAAUGCAGGCGUGCUGGCUGGGACUGAACCACCCUCUGGGACUGUGAGGCAGCAAUGUUGGAUGGCGGGGAAGCAGGCUGGAAGAAAAUUUAAGACCCUAGGCUUCAGAAGCAGACGAGGGAACGAGCAGAAGAACAGAAGAACAGCAGAAUGGCAUGGCAGAGAGAAGAAAGGGACCAUCUGAACGCCAAGAGAAAUUCAGCUGGGGGAGGUCAGAGAGGAGAUAGACUGCAGGACAGCCAAGCUCCAGGGGAAGAUCAUCUUCCCACUCCAUCCCCUUUCCAGCUCCCCAUCCAUCCCGCUGAGAGCCACCUCCACCACUCAAUAAAACCCUGCAUUCACCAUCCUCAAGUCUGUGUGUGACCUGAUUCUUCCUGGAUGCCGGACAAGGACCUAGGUACCAUGAGGGCACUGAGCUGGUUAACACUUAAGCUAUCUGCAGGCAGCACAGCUAAAAGAAUGCAUGGUAACACAUGCCUACUUGGGCUUUGGGAGUUGCAGGCACCCACCCCUAGAAGCUACCAUGGGGCUGGAGCCCCAAGGUGCUUGCCCUGGC